UACGUAGGUGGCAAGCGUUGUCCGGAUUUACUGGGCGUAAAGGGCGUGCAGGCGGUCUGUUAAGUGCAGGGUGAAAGCUCCCGGCUCAACUGGGAGAGGUCCUUGCAUACUGGCGGACUUGAGGGGGGUAGAGGAAAGUGGAAUUCCCGGUGUAGUGGUGAUAUGCGUAGAUAUCGGGAGGAACACCUGUGGCGAAGGCGGACUCGCUGGACCGGAACUGACGCUGAGGCGCGAAAGCGAUGGGUA
rnacentral:rRNA from 1 species